CAGCCGCCGCGGUAAUACGUAGGGGGCAAGCGUUGUCCGGAUUUACUGGGCGUAAAGAGCGUGUAGGCGGCCAAGCAGGUCUGUUGUGAAAACUGGAGGCUCAACCUCCAGACGUCGACAGAAACCGCUCGGCUAGAGUCCGGAAGAGGAGAGUGGAAUUCCUGGUGUAGCGGUGAAAUGCGCAGAUAUCGGGAAGAACACCAAUGGCGAAGGCAGCUCUCUGGGACGGUACUGACGCUGAGACGCGAAAGCGUGGGGAGCGAACAGGAUUAGAUACCCUGGUAGUCCACGCCGUAAACGAUGGGUGCUAGGUGUGGGGGGUGUCGACUCCCUCCGUGCCGCAGCUAACGCAUUAAGCACCCCGCCUGGGGAGUACGAUCGCAAGAUUAAAACUCAAAGGAAUUGACGG
rnacentral:rRNA from 1 species